rnacentral:rRNA from 1 species
UUUAUGGAGAGUUUGAUCCUGGCUCAGGACGAACGCUGGCGGCGUGCCUAAUACAUGCAAGUCGAGCGAACUUCUUCGGAAGUUAGCGGCGGACGGGUGA